UACGUAGGGUGCGAGCGUUAAUCGGAAUUACUGGGCGUAAAGUGUGCGCAGGCGGCCGAGCAAGUCGAGUGUGAAAGCCCCGAGCUUAACUUGGGAAUUGCGCUCGAAACUACUUGGCUGGAGUGUGGCAGAGGAAGGUGGAAUUCCAGGUGUAGCGGUGAAAAUGCGUAGAGAUCUGGAGGAACACCGAUGGCGAAGGCAGCCUUCUGGGCCCAACACUGACGCUCAUGCACGAAAGCGUGGGGGAGCAAACAGG
rnacentral:rRNA from 1 species